AAAAGGAACGUGCUUUCCAUGCUGACUUGUGCCCAACUAUAUCUUACGCAGCUGACUAAGUUCUAAUCGGUCUUUUGCUUGAUAGAAGGGAAGUUCGCCGCCGAACCAUUUCUGUAAGCGAAUUGAGCCACCGGACAGCGACGCGGCUAGGGAUGCGUGUGGGGUGCUGAUAGAGAUGGGUGAGAGGGUGGCCGGGGGCGGAGAUUAGGCCACCCCAUAUGCUUUUGCUUCUCUGAAAUUCAUUUUUUUCUCCUUCGUUCACGUGUGUUCGCAUUGUCCAGCGGCUACAUAGCUUUAUCUAGCCGCUGAACGAUUGAAUUCAGUGCGCCGGCAAUGAUCUGCGGGGUGAAAUCUGAUUCUUCAACAUGCAAGUGCAAUCUCUGCAGUUUUUCUUCUGAUGAAUACGAAGCAUCGUCUAAUGGUGUAAAUUCAAGUUUUGACUAACAACGGUCUAGACAUAUGUUUGUAUUCAAGUUUUGGCUACCCCAUCAAGAAUUACUGCCUUCUGCAGUAAAAUCGCAAAAGAAAUUGUUCAAGUCAAAAAUCAAUAAA